CAUAGGUUAAUGAGGCGAACCGGGGGAACUGAAACAUCUAAGUACCCCGAGGAAAAGAAAUCAACCGAGAUUCCCCCAGUAGCGGCGAGCGAACGGGGAGGAGCCCAGAGCCUGAAUCAGUGUGUGUGUUAGUGGAAGCGUCUGGAAAGGCGCGCGAUACAGGGUGACAGCCCCGUACACAAAAAUGCACAUGCUGUGAGCUCGAUGAGUAGGGCGGGACACGUGGUAUCCUGUCUGAAUAUGGGGGGACCAUCCUCCAAGGCUAAAUACUCCUGACUGACCGAUAGUGAACCAGUACCGUGAGGGAAAGGCGAAAAGAACCCCGGCGAGGGGAGUGAAAAAGAACCUGAAACCGUGUACGUACAAGCAGUGGGAGCACGCUUAGGCGUGUGACUGCGUACCUUUUGUAUAAUGGGUCAGCGACUUAUAUUCUGUAGCAAGGUUAACCGAAUAGGGGAGCCGAAGGGAAACCGAGUCUUAACUGGGCGUUAAGUUGCAGGGUAUAGACCCGAAACCCGGUGAUCUAGCCAUGGGCAGGUUGAAGGUUGGGUAACACUAACUGGAGGACCGAACCGACUAAUGUUGAAAAAUUAGCGGAUGACUUGUGGCUGGGGGUGAAAGGCCAAUCAAACCGGGAGAUAGCUGGUUCUCCCCGAAAGCUAUUUAGGUAGCGCCUCGUGAAUUCAUCUCCGGGGGUAGAGCACUGUUUCGGCAAGGGGGUCAUCCCGACUUACCAACCCGAUGCAAACUGCGAAUACCGGAGAAUGUUAUCACGGGAGACACACGGCGGGUGCUAACGUCCGUCGUGAAGAGGGAAACAACCCAGACCGCCAGCUAAGGUCCCAAAGUCAUGGUUAAGUGGGAAACGAUGUGGGAAGGCCCAGACAGCCAGGAUGUUGGCUUAGAAGCAGCCAUCAUUUAAAGAAAGCGUAAUAGCUCACUGGUCGAGUCGGCCUGCGCGGAAGAUGUAACGGGGCUAAACCAUGCACCGAAGCUGCGGCAGCGACGCUUAUGCGUUGUUGGGUAGGGGAGCGUUCUGUAAGCCUGUGAAGGUGUGCUGUGAGGCAUGCUGGAGGUAUCAGAAGUGCGAAUGCUGACAUAAGUAACGAUAAAGCGGGUGAAAAGCCCGCUCGCCGGAAGACCAAGGGUUCCUGUCCAACGUUAAUCGGGGCAGGGUGAGUCGACCCCUAAGGCGAGGCCGAAAGGCGUAGUCGAUGGGAAACAGGUUAAUAUUCCUGUACUUGGUGUUACUGCGAAGGGGGGACGGAGAAGGCUAUGUUGGCCGGGCGACGGUUGUCCCGGUUUAAGCGUGUAGGCUGGUUUUCCAGGCAAAUCCGGAAAAUCAAGGCUGAGGCGUGAUGACGAGGCACUACGGUGCUGAAGCAACAAAUGCCCUGCUUCCAGGAAAAGCCUCUAAGCAUCAGGUAACAUCAAAUCGUACCCCAAACCGACACAGGUGGUCAGGUAGAGAAUACCAAGGCGCUUGAGAGAACUCGGGUGAAGGAACUAGGCAAAAUGGUGCCGUAACUUCGGGAGAAGGCACGCUGAUAUGUAGGUGAAGUCCCUCGCGGAUGGAGCUGAAAUCAGUCGAAGAUACCAGCUGGCUGCAACUGUUUAUUAAAAACACAGCACUGUGCAAACACGAAAGUGGACGUAUACGGUGUGACGCCUGCCCGGUGCCGGAAGGUUAAUUGAUGGGGUCAGCGCAAGCGAAGCUCUUGAUCGA
rnacentral:rRNA from 1 species